rnacentral:rRNA from 1 species
CGAGAAGUGGGGGAUAGCUCGCUGAAAAGCGAAUUAAUACCGCAUAUGACCAGAAGGGACAUCCCUUCAACGUCAAAGGUGGCGCAAGCUACCGCUUCUUGAUGACCCCGCGGCCUAUCAGCUAGUUGGUAAGGUAAUGGCUUACCAAGGCUAUGACGGGUAGCUGGUCUGAGAGGACGACCAGUCACACUGGAACUGAGACACGGUCCAGACACCUACGGGUGGCAGCAGUCGAGAAUUUUUCUCAAUGGGGGAAACCCUGAAGGAGCGACGCCGCGUGGAGGAUGAAGGUCUUCGGAUUGUAAACUCCUGUCAUUUGGGAACAAGUUGCAGCGAUUAACUGUCGCUGCAUUGAUAGUACCAGAAGAGGAAGAGACGGCUAACUCUGUGCCAGCAGCCGCGGUAAUACAGAGGUCUCAAGCGUUGUUCGGAUUCAUUGGGCGUAAAGGGUGCGUAGGCGGCGGGGUAAGUCGGAUGUGAAAUCUCAGGGCUCAACCCUGAAACUGCAUUCGAUACUGCUCUGCUUGAGGACUCGAGAGGAGAUUGGAAUUCACGGUGUAGCAGUGAAAUGCGUAGAUAUCGUGAGGAAGACCAGUGGCGAAGGCGGAUCUCUGGAGAGUUCCUGACGCUGAGGCACGAAGGCCAGGGGAGCAAACGGGAUUAGAUACCCCGGUAGUCCUGGCAGUAAACGGUGCACGUUUGGUGUGGGAGGAUUCGACCCCUUCCGUGCCGGAGCUAACGCGUUAAACGUGCCGCCUGGGGAGUACGGUCGCAAGAUUAAAACUCAAAGGAAUUGACGGAAUCGAAUU